rnacentral:rRNA from 1 species
GCAGUGAUGUGGAGCGAAACUCAAAAAAAUAAGUCUCAGUUCGGAUUGAAGGCUGAAAUUCGCCUUCAUGAAGCCGGAAUUGCUAGUAAUGGCAGGUCAGCAUACUGCCGUGAAUACGUUCCCGGGCCUUGUACACACCGCCCGUCACACCAUGAGAGUUGGGAAUACCCGAAGCCUGUGAGCUAACAUUUAUGAGGCAGCAGUCGAAGGUAGAAUCAAUGAUUGGGGUGAAGUCGUAACAAGGUACC